rnacentral:rRNA from 1 species
CAGUCGCCGCGGUAAUACGAAGGGGGCUAGCGUUGUUCGGAACUACUGGGCGUAAAGCGCACGUAGGCGGAUUUCUAAGUCAGGGGUGAAAUCCCGAGGCUCAACCUCGGAACUGCCUUUGAUACUGGAGAUCUUGAGUUCGGAAGAGGUUGGUGGAACAGCUAGUGUAGAGGUGAAAUUCGUAGAUAUUAGCUAGAACACCAGUGGCGAAGGCGGCCAACUGGUCCGAUACUGACGCUGAGGUGCGAAAGCGUGGGGAGCAAACAGGAUUAGAUACUCCCGUAGUCCCUGUCUCUUAUAC